GAGAAAGAGACCAUGAGACAGUCUUUAAAGCCAGGUAUGGGGACAAAAUAUGUCCAAGAUAGGUCCCACUGGCAGCAGCGUUUGGGCACAGAGAGUCCAGUAUAAUACUCAUUCAGAACCAUAUUCGAGGGAACAGCCAAUCAGAGCCUUUUACCACACAGCUGCUCUCCGCCAUCUGGACACUGGCUCUAUGAGCUGAAACUGCGGGGCUCUUUAUUUCCCAGUGGAAUUGACCGAGUGACUGCUGCUUCCAUCCAUCUUUAACAUUCAUUCGCUCGUUCAUUCAUUCAGUCAGUCAUUCAUUCCUUUUCCCACACUUCGGGAAACAACACAACAACGACCAUGAAUUAAGUUCAGGCGGCUACGAUUAAGAGCGAUACGAGCUAUGGCCAUGAUCUACCCUCGCUCCUCCGAACGAAUGCCCGAAUGCCAGGCCGCACGUUCCGCCGCGAGACCGGCAGCUGAGACAGGAUGCAGCACCGAACGGACGAGCCACGUGCUGGUUCGUCACCGCUAGCUUCACACAGUGCCCUCCCCGGCUCUUCAAACGUGACAUAACGCAGCAAUGCACGCCAUCUGCCAUCUCAGUAGUCACAUUUCCUGUUGUAUGUACUCGCGCUGUUUACAUCAAGGCUUCCUCACCCCGUCCACUGAGAAAUUGGUUGUCACAGACAAUAAGCAUACUUAAGAGCACCAAGUCCUCAGAACAUCUGUGAAACGUAGCCUUUUUUAAAAAUCGAGCUGAAAGGGAAUAUAUCAGCCUGCCCAAGGACAACGCAAUUUGCAAUUCUAAGCCUCGCUUCAGUUUGGGAUGAUCAAAGAAAUGUAAUUUGAACAGCCUUUAAAAAUCAAACAACAGGUGAUAGAGAAUACACAAGGCUUACAAGACAUUCUGUUUCUGGCAUAAAAUCAAUUGUGUAGGCCUACUCCGAUAUCUCGCAGUAGGUCUGUGUUCUAACCUGUUCAACUGUAGACCUAAAGCUGAGGAGCAUUGUCUAGACAUUCUGGAUCCACAGGUAUCAGAUCUGUGAUAUGAACUGUGGAUUUACCCCGCAUUAGGUAUUCAUUGCUUUUCAGAAAGUAAUUUCUUACAUGCAAUCAAUCAAUUCUUAGAUAUACAUAAUAUACAAUGGGGUCACUGUUAUACUGUAUAUUCCAAUUUGAGGCAUGCUAAGGUUACGAUUUUUUUGCUCAGUCUUGUAUAUUUUCAUGUUUAAAAUAUACCUCUUUUUUGAUGUGUGACAUGAUUAAUAUUUUAAUUGCAUUAAGUAUGAAAUCCAUAAUUACUUGAUGCAGUCAGAAUUUAUGAGAUGCGAAACCUCAUAAGAACCUCAGAAUUCAUAACAAGAACAGGCCAUACCACCCAUCUAAACUUGUCAUGUACCUACAGGGCCAAAUCUGGCCUGAAGGCCAGCAGUACUGUUGGCUUUCUUUUUGUACCUGCUAGUUAAUUUAUCGGUAAUUGACUGUGAUUGGCCAGAGAUUUAACUCACCUGAUGCCCUAGGUUUAAAUCAGUCCUGAUUAGAGGGGACAAGUAAAAACCAGCAGUACUACGAGCCUUAAGAUUCAGAUCUGAGUAUCCCGGACUACAGACAAGAGCAGGGGUAGUAGAAUCUUGUCUAUAGAAGCCUGAUGUGUCUUCUGGGUUUAAAAUUUUUUUUUUUUUUUUACAUGUUUCAGAAUUUAUAUGGUUAAUGUCACCAAUGACUAGACUAGACUGGUUUCUAAGGCCUAAAUUAGCUGCUGAUGAAAAGGACACUGCAGCACUUGAUUUUGACACCCCUGGACAAGAAGUAUGAGCCUGGCCUUCAGCCUAGACUUGAACUAUCCUAUGGUCUUUGCCACCUCAAUGUUCACAUUUUCAAGUCAUAAUAAACAUCCUGUAAUUAUGCUGAA